rnacentral:rRNA from 1 species
UACGUAGGGGGCAAGCGUUGUCCGGAUUUAUUGGGCGUAAAGAGCUCGUAGGCGGUUUGUCGCGUCUGCUGUGAAAACCCGAGGCUCAACCUCGGGCCUGCAGUGGGUACGGGCAGACUAGAGUGCGGUAGGGGAGAUUGGAAUUCCUGGUGUAGCGGUGGAAUGCGCAGAUAUCAGGAGGAACACCGAUGGCGAAGGCAGAUCUCUGAGCCGUAACUGACGCUGAGGAGCGAAAGCGUGGGGAGCGAACAGG